rnacentral:rRNA from 1 species
ACGAACGCUGGCGGCGUGCUUAACACAUGCCAGUCGAACGGAAAGGCCCUGCUUUUGUGGGGUGCUCGAGUGGCGAACGGGUGAGUAACACGUGAGUAACCUGCCCUUGACUUUGGGAUAACUUCAGGAAACUGGGGCUAAUACCGGAUAGGAGCUCCUGCUGCAUGGUGGGGGUUGGAAAGUUUCGGCGGUUGGGGAUGGACUCGCGGCUUAUCAGCUUGUUGGUGGGGUAGUGGCUUACCAAGGCUUUGACGGGUAGCCGGCCUGAGAGGGUGACCGGCCACAUUGGGACUGAGAUACGGCCCAGACUCCUACGGGAGGCAGCAGUGGGGAAUAUUGCACAAUGGGCGGAAGCCUGAUGCAGCAACGCCGCGUGCGGGAUGACGGCCUUCGGGUUGUAAACCGCUUUCGCCUGUGACGAAGCGUGAGUGACGGUAAUGGGUAAAGAAGCACCGACUAACUACGUG